UACAGAGACUGCAAGCGUUAUUCGGAUUCACUGGGCGUAAAGGGUGCGCAGGCGGCCAAGUGUGUGAGGCGUGAAAGCCCGGGGCUUAACCCCGGAAUUGCAUUCGAGACUGCAUUGCUGGAGUACGGAAGAGGAAGGCGGAAUUCCCGGUGUAGCGGUGAAAUGCGUAGAUAUCGGGAGGAACAUCAGUGGCGAAGGCGGCCUUCUGGUCCAGUACUGACACUCAAGUGCGAAAGCGUGGGGAGCAAACAGG
rnacentral:rRNA from 1 species